UACGUAGGUGGCAAGCGUUGUCCGGAUUUACUGGGCGUAAAGAGCGCGCAGGCGGUCGUUCAAGUCGCGUGUGAAAGCCCCCGGCUCAACUGGGGAGGGUCACGCGAUACUGAUCGACUCGAAGGCAGGAGAGGGUAGUGGAAUUCCUGGUGUAGCGGUGGAAUGCGCAGAUAUCAGGAGGAACACCGGUGGCGAAGGCGGGAUCCUGGGCCAGUACUGACGCUGAGGAGCGAAAGCGUGGGGAGCAAACAGG
rnacentral:rRNA from 1 species